UACGGAGGGUGCGAGCGUUAAUCGGAAUGACUGGGCGUAAAGGGUGCGUAGGUGGUUAGAUAAGUUAGCUGUGAAAGUCCUGGGCUUAACCUGGGAAGGUCAGCUAAAACUGUUUUGACUAUAGAGUAUGGGAGAGGGUAGUGGAAUUCCUGGUGUAGCGGUGAAAUGCGCAGAUAUCAGGAGGAACACCGGUGGCGAAGGCGGGUCUCUGGGCCGAUACUGACGCUGAGGAGCGAAAGCGUGGGGAGCAAACAGG
rnacentral:rRNA from 1 species